GGAGAAUGUUGUGGCUCAGUGGAAGGUGUAUCUGCUUUGCACGCACAAGGUCCCAGGUCUAAUCCCUGGUGUCUCCA